rnacentral:rRNA from 1 species
AGUGAACGCUGGCGGUAGGCCUAACACAUGCAAGUCGAACGGCAGCACAGUAAGAGCUUGCUCUUACGGGUGGCGAGUGGCGGACGGGUGAGGAAUACAUCGGAAUCUACUUUUUCGUGGGGAAUAACGUAGGGAAACUUACGCUAAUACCGCAUACGACCUACGGGUGAAAGCAGGGGAUCUUCGGACCUUGCGCGAUUGAAUGAGCCGAUGUCGGAUUAGCUAGUUGGCGGGGUAAAGGCCCACCAAGGCGACGAUCCGUAGCUGGUCUGAGAGGAUGAUCAGCCACACUGGAACUGAGACACGGUCCAGACUCCUACGGGAGGCAGCAGUGGGGAAUAUUGGACAAUGGGCGCAAGCCUGAUCCAGCCAUACCGCGUGGGUGAAGAAGGCCAUCGGGUUGUAAAGCCCUUUUGUUGGGAAAGAAAAGCAGCAGGUUAAUACCCCGCUGUUCUGACGGUACCCAAAGAAUAAGCACCGGCUAACUUCGUG